CUAAAAAACUAACGUCUCAGUUCAGAUUGCAGGCUGCAACUCGCCUGCAUGAAGUCGGAAUUGCUGUAAUCGCAGAUCAGCAUGCUGCGGUGAACACGUCCCCGGGCCUUGUACACACCGCCCGUCACACCAUGGGAGUCGGUAACACCCGAAGUCGGUAGCCUAACCGUAAGGAGGGCGCCGCCGAAGGUGGGAUUGAUGACUGGGGUGAAGUCGUAACAAGGUAUC
rnacentral:rRNA from 1 species